GGUGGCUCAGUGGUAGAGUGCCUGCCUUAUAUGCGUGAGGCCCUGGGUUCGAUUCCUCAGCACCA
rnacentral:tRNA from 1 species